rnacentral:rRNA from 1 species
AUUGAACGCUGGCGGCAGGCCUAACACAUGCAAGUCGAACGGUAGCAGAAAGCAGCUUGCUGCUUUGCUGACGAGUGGCGGACGGGUGAGUAAUGUCUGGGAAACUGCCUGAUGGAGGGGGAUAACUACUGGAAACGGUAGCUAAUACCGCAUAACGUCGCAAGACCAAAGAGGGGGACCUUCGGGCCUCUUGCCAUCGGAUGUGCCCAGAUGGGAUUAGCUUGUUGGUGGGGUAACGGCUCACCAAGGCGACGAUCCCUAGCUGGUCUGAGAGGAUGACCAGCCACACUGGAACUGAGACACGGUCCAGACUCCUACGGGAGGCAGCAGUGGGGAAUAUUGCACAAUGGGCGCAAGCCUGAUGCAGCCAUGCCGCGUGUAUGAAGAAGGCCUUCGGGUUGUAAAGUACUUUCAGCGGGGAGGAAGGGAGUAAAGUUAAUACCUUUGCUCAUUGACGUUACCCGCAGAAGAAGCACCGGCUAACUCCGUG